AUCCAACUGACGAGUCUCAAAUCGGACGAAACACGCAUCUUGUAU
rfam:Schistosoma haematobium scaffold875_4, whole genome shotgun sequence.